AGAGUUUGAUCCUGGCUCAGGAUGAACGCUAGCUACAGGCUUAACACAUGCAAGUCGAGGGGAAACGAUAUUGGAAGCUUGCUUCCGAUAGGCGUCGACCGGCGCACGGGUGAGUAACGCGUAUCCAACCUGCCCAUCACUUGGGAAUAACCUUGCGAAAGUAAGACUAAUGCCCAAUGACAUUUAUAGAAGGCAUCGGAAAUGAAUUAAAGAUUUAUUGGUGAUGGAUGGGGAUGCGUCUGAUUAGCUUGUUGGCGGGGUAACGGCCCACCAAGGCGACGAUCAGUAGGGGUUCUGAGAGGAAGGUCCCCCACAUUGGAACUGAGACACGGUCCAAACUCCUACGGGAGGCAGCAGUGAGGAAUAUUGGUCAAUGGGCGAGAGCCUGAACCAGCCAAGUAGCGUGCAGGAUGACGGCCCUAUGGGUUGUAAACUGCUUUUAUAGGGGAAUAAAGUGAGCCACGUGUGGUUUUUUGCAUGUACCCUAUGAAUAAGGACCGGCUAAUUCCGUGCCAGCAGCCGCGGUAAUACGGAAGGUCCGGGCGUUAUCCGGAUUUAUUGGGUUUAAAGGGAGCGUAGGCCGGAGAUUAAGCGUGUUGUGAAAUGUAGAUGCUCAACAUCUGCACUGCAGCGCGAACUGGUUUCCUUGAGUACGCAUAAAGUGGGCGGAAUUCGUGGUGUAGCGGUGAAAUGCUUAGAUAUCACGAAGAACUCCGAUUGCGAAGGCAGCUCACUGGGGCGCAACUGACGCUGAAGCUCGAAAGCGCGGGUAUCGAACAGGAUUAGAUACCCUGGUAGUCCGCGCGGUAAACGAUGGAUGCCCGCUGUUGGGCCAACUGGUUCAGCGGCCAAGCGAAAGCAUUAAGCAUCCCACCUGGGGAGUACGCCGGCAACGGUGAAACUCAAAGGAAUUGACGGGGGCCCGCACAAGCGGAGGAACAUGUGGUUUAAUUCGAUGAUACGCGAGGAACCUUACCCGGGCUUGAAUUGCAGAGGAAGGAUUUGGAGACAAUGACGCCCUUCGGGGCCUCUGUGAAGGUGCUGCAUGGUUGUCGUCAGCUCGUGCCGUGAGGUGUCGGCUUAAGUGCCAUAACGAGCGCAACCCCUCUCCAUAGUUGCCAUCAGGUUAAGCUGGGCACUCUGUGGACACUGCCACCGUGAGGUGUGAGGAAGGUGGGGAUGACGUCAAAUCAGCACGGCCCUUACGUCCGGGGCUACACACGUGUUACAAU
rnacentral:rRNA from 1 species